ACGGGUGAGUAAUGCCUAGGAAUCUGCCUGGUAGUGGGGGAUAACGUUCGGAAACGAACGCUAAUACCGCAUACGUCCUACGGGAGAAAGCAGGGGACCUUCGGGCCUUGCGCUAUCAGAUGAGCCUAGGUCGGAUUAGCUAGUUGGUGAGGUAAUGGCUCACCAAGGCGACGAUCCGUAACUGGUCUGAGAGGAUGAUCAGUCACACUGGAACUGAGACACGGUCCAGACUCCUACGGGAGGCAGCAGUGGGGAAUAUUGGACAAUGGGCGAAAGCCUGAUCCAGCCAUGCCGCGUGUGUGAAGAAGGUCUUCGGAUUGUAAAGCACUUUAAGUUGGGAGGAAGGGCAGUUACCUAAUACGUAAUUGUUUUGACGUUACCGACAGAAUAAGCACCGGCUAACUCUGUGCCAGCAGCCGCGGUAAUACAGAGGGUGCAAGCGUUAAUCGGAAUUACUGGGCGUAAAGCGCGCGUAGGUGGUUCGUUAAGUUGGAUGUGAAAUCCCCGGGCUCAACCUGGGAACUGCAUUCAAAACUGUCGAGCUAGAGUAUGGUAGAGGGUGGGUGGUAUUUCCUGUGUA
rnacentral:rRNA from 1 species